UGGGGAAUUUUGGACAAUGGGGGAAACCCUGAUCCAGCCAUCCCGCGUGUGCGAUGAAGGCCUUCGGGUUGUAAAGCACUUUUGGCAGGAAAGAAACGUCAUGGGUUAAUACCCCGUGAAACUGACGGUACCUGCAGAAUAAGCACCGGCUAACUACGUGCCAGCAGCCGAGGUAAUACGUAGGGUGCAAGCGUUAAUCGGAAUUACUGGGCGUAAAGCGUGCGCAGGCGGUUCGGAAAGAAAGAUGUGAAAUCCCAGAGCUCAACUUUGGAACUGCAUUUUUAACUACCGGGCUAGAGUGUGUCAGAGGGAGGUGGAAUUCCGCGUGUAGCAGUGAAAUGCGUAGAUAUGCGGAGGAACACCGAUGGCGAAGGCAGCCUCCUGGGAUAACACUGACGCUCAUGCACGAAAGCGUGGGGAGCAAACAGG
rnacentral:rRNA from 1 species